UACGUAGGGGGCGAGCGUUGUCCGGAUUUAUUGGGCGUAAAGAGCUCGUAGGUGGUUUGUCGCGUUGUCCGUGAAAACUCACAGCUUAACUGUGGGCGUGCGGGCGAUACGGGCAGACUGGAGUACUGCAGGGGAGACUGGAAUUCCUGGUGUAGCGGUGGAAUGCGCAGAUAUCAGGAGGAACACCGGUGGCGAAGGCGGGUCUCUGGGCAGUAACUGACGCUGAGGAGCGAAAGCGUGGGGAGCGAACAGG
rnacentral:rRNA from 1 species